GUUGCGGCAGCGCGCGCGCCCGGAGCUGGAAACCGCCGCAGUCUCGUCGAAAGUUCUAAGAGCAGAGCUUUGGUCUCGUCUAAAGAUCUUAGCUCUAAGAUCUUUGGUCUCGUCUACAAUGUGUCGAAGAUGGCGGAGGUGCUGGAGUGCCGCUCCCGUGAGUUCCGGCAGUACUACACCCCAAAGAUACUGGAGGAGCAAGAUAGACCACUAGGCGAAAAACCCUUAGUUGGUCAUGGGUAAUUUUCUCGCGCCAUUUCGGGAAUCAAAUAUAUGAGGUUUUUUUAAUCGGCUUCUGUCAUGGCGUCCACAUCUACAAGCAAAAGUGCUCGAAUCGCCAAUGUAAGUGACCCGACCUGUCUUCAGGUUCCCCACUAAAGACGAAAGCGGGUCCAGAAUACUCAUCGACAAGAUCUCCUACACCGAACUAUGGAGUACUUGUCAAAGAACUGCCGUCUUUGUUCUGAACACUUCGAUCUUGACCAGUUUUCAAACAAGCAGACCAAGAACAGGCUAAAUUGGAAUGCAGUUCCAACGCUCUUUGACAUCCUGAACCCACUGAAACGUCUGUCCUCUCAACGCAGGAUACUCAAGAGGAGGAAUGAGAACCUCCCAUCUGCACCAAAGCAUUCAAUGCAGCAAAUUGUGAUUUGUUAGCCUCACAAAAUAACGCAAAUGACAAUUUAUUUAUUAUUGUAUAUACGUUGGACAUUUUGUCCUUUGGGGUAAGCAGGGGUGGGGGUUUGAAAUUAUACUCCUGCAAAAUCCAAUGGACUGACGUGGAUUAAACACCUCUGGUAUCUUUGGAUUAAACUACGAGAGGCAUAACGGAGGUCGGGGUCUUAUUCCUAAAAUGGCGGAAGUCAUGUUCCGUUGCGUACUUCACGUCAGUCCAUUGGAUUUUGUAGGAAUGGUCUAUCUUGCUCCUCUAGUAUCUUUGCUACACCCCUGCUUGAAAUUGUUUGAAAUACAUUGAAUUUUACAUCACUUUCAUUGGUUAGCUGAUAUGCGAAACACUGCAACCCUGUAUAUCUCACACAUAAAACAAUGUAAAUUAUGUAAAUCUUACCAUGAAUGACAGAAAUAACAAGUGUUAUCCAUUUUUAUGAAUUUUGAUGUAGAAUUAUUUAAAAUUGAGUGGAUUGAUGUAAUAUACUGCUAACCCACAAAUGUGUCAUUAUGAGAUAUUCACAUUUACAAACUCGCUCAGUAGCUCGGGUGGCUGUGAACAGCCGCUGGGACCAGACAGCGGAACUGCAGCUAGACCCGGAGGGUCCUGGCCCCUUUGCAAAAAAGGCUGCCGACCCCUGGACUAAACCAAACCCUCGAUCCUGUCCUGCCAGCCUUUUUUCAAAAUUUAGCAACUCAAAUAGUGGCGCAUCUUCAUUGCUGGGAAAUACAGUAACUAAUUUCCCUCAAAUAUAUGUUAGAUUUUCCUCAAAUGUAUGUUUAAUUAAAAACUAAACUAUGGUAGCAAUACAUAGUAUUCAUGUCUAAAGCUCGCACUUCUGCAUCAAUGUAGGUAUGUAUACACUACAUUUCAUUACACUAAUAUAGAAUGUAAAAAUAUCUUGGCGUGUGUUCAUUGAUAUUUUAUUCACAAUAUUAGGAUUUUAGAGAGAGAGGUUGAAUGAAAGAAAGAAAAAAAGGUUCAAUUAGAGGAGAUCACAAGAAAGAAACUAGAGAAAUAUAUAUGUGUGUUAUAUAUUUAUAUACAUAUAUAUCACACAUAUAUACGCAUCAUAUAUAUAAUGAAUAUGUGUGUGUGUGUG